rnacentral:lncRNA from 1 species
GCAUUUCAAUCAUUUAUUCUCUUAUUAUUUCACAUAUUGCAAGAAUUUAUAUUUGCACAUAGAACAUAACAUUUAUAAUGUUACAAGAAAUCAAACUUAAAGGAAAAAAAUAACAUUGUUCCUUAAACACCUUAUAUCAAUACUACAAAUCCUUUUUGUAGCUUUUUAAAUGCAAACCAAUGAAAUCAAAUAUUUCUAUAUCAUAUGAAAUAUCUAGUUUUUUCUAUUGAAAGUUUACACAAUCAUCUCCCUUGUUGAAGCUGUACAGUGGCCUAUAUUUGUUUACAUCCACUUCAUUUGAACUAUGGAAGAUAAUUGUCUCAUUGGCAAUACUUAUUUUUGAUAUUCAUCUAUCUAUACAACUGAACGUAUAAUGUGUUUAGACAAAUGUUUUAUCAAAGUAUUAACCAUAAAAUAAUUGCAUCAUUUAGGAAUAAAAAUUGUUCUGAUCCAGCAAAAGAAAAAAACAUUCCAUAUCAAAAUUGAACAAAUUAAAAAAUAAAAGAGUACUGUUUUAAACAGGGUAAAAUAAAAUAUUAUUACAGAAAGUGAACACCCAUGGCUUUGAAGAAAAGCAAUAAAAUCAACUUUUACAUGAUUAUUUUCAUGUAAUCAUUAGAUAUACUUAGUCUGCUAUCAAUGUUUGCCAAAAAAUAGCUCUGUACAAUGAACACAUGUCAAUAAAGUAAUUGCCUACCCCCUUAUUGUGCAUGAGGUAUAAUCUGGAAACUUUGGCAAAAGAGAGUUUGAGGUAUUUUUGAUAAGCCUGACUUGGUCACUUAUAAUAUAUAUAGAACACAAACUACAGAACAUAAUUACCAGGAUUAUUUUAAAGAAAUAACAUAUGCUAAUAGUAAUUGCCUUGAUAAAAUUAUACUUCAAUGUAAGGAACUUAUUCUAAUUACUAUGAGUCUGGACAUAUUUGAUGUUUUUUUUUUCAGAAUUGCUAAUUUAAUCAAAUACAUAACGUUUGUAACUUGCCAUUUCUUGUGGUUUUGUAUACUAUUAAUAAAUCAAUAACAGUACAGAUUUUUUUUUUCACACUCUAUGAGAAUUUUGACAAUAAUGCUUCAGAUCAAAAUAUUUGUUAAUCCCGAACUUAUUCAAAAGAAGAUAAAGAGCUUAUAAAACAAAAAGGCCAAAAAACAAAAGAACGGGUAAGAAUUCAGAGCUUUGUAUGAGGGAGAUAUCUUUCUUAAUUUAAAAUAAUUUCCAAAAGUAAUUAAUGAUUGGGAAACUGAUCAGCUGUACAUGUGUCAUUAUUAAAAAUAUAUAUAUCUUCCUUGUGGUUUGUUACUUUACUUUCUUGAACAGAAAGCCUGUUUGUAAGAAUUUUCGUCUGAUCACAAAUGCACAUUUGAAGUUUUAGUGUGUUUUUUGGACAAAAGAAUGAAAAUUGAUAAAUCUGACAUAAACCUAGAUUUAUCAAGUUUUUAAAUGUUACAUUCAUGCAUAUUGACUUGGUUAAACGUAUACAAAACUAGCAGAGGAGAGUCACUGUAAUCAAUUUUUAUGCACUUUUAAAUAUAUGGAGAUUACUUGUAACAACAGUCGUAAGAUUUGUGUGGCACUUAUAUUGCAAUAAUUAAAAUGAAAAAAAUUCGUAAGGGUUCCACGGAACCCAGUGUCUUGCCUACUUUUGCUGUUAAUCGCAGACUCAACAAAAAUGAGGAAAAACACCAAUAAAAAUUUCCCUCUCAAUACUGCCUUUUGAUUGAAAGAAGCUUCCAAGUUUAAAAAAAUCCAGGAUAGUUUAUGAAUCUAAUAAAAAUUUUAAAAACUUAAACCACAGAGUGAAUGUUUUGUUUCUGGCAAAAAAACUAAGUCCAUUUAUAAGUAAAAUACGUAAAAGUGGAAAUUUAUUUUUACAAAAUUUUCUUCUUGAUACUAUCUUAUGAUCAUAAACAAGCUUCUGUCCAAGUUUGGUACAAAUCAAGGACAGUUUAUGAAAGUUAUUAAAAUUUUAAAAACUUUAACCACAGAGUGAAUGUAAUGUUUCCUCGCAGAAAAACUAAGUCCAUUUAUAAGUAAAAUACGGAAAAAAUGGAAUUUUAUUUUUACAAAAUAUACUUCUGGAUACUUUCUUAUGAUCAUAAACAAGCUUCUGUCCAAGUUUGGUAGAAAUUCAGUAUAGUUUAAGAAAGUUAUUAAAAUUUCAAAAACUUUAACCACAGAGUGAAUAUUUGUGGACGCCGCCGCCGCCACCAAC